CAAAAACACGAUAUGCAUUCCAGAUAUCUAGCAGCCUAAAUAUCUGGACCUGUCAGGGAGUCUAAGAGCCAAUGAGAGUGCAAGACACUGGUUGGGGAAAACCUGGAGAAGAGGACGCCUGUAACAACAACAAGGAACUGUUUAUGUUGUAUUUGCAACGCAGACCAAAGUUGGUAUUGCACCUAGAGGCAAAAUGCUAUAAAUGGUAAAGAAGUGUGGAAACAGGCUAUUUGGUGAACUUGUGUGCCAACAAC